UACGUAGGUGACAAGCGUUGUCCGGAUUACUGGGCGUAAAGAGCGCGCAGGCGGUCGAUCAAGUCGAGUGUGAAAGCCCCCGGCUCAACCGGGGAGGGUCAUUGGAAACUGGAAGGCUUGAGUGCAGAAGAGAAGAGCGGAAUUCCACGUGUAGCGGUGAAAUGCGUAGAGAUGUGGAGGAACACCAGUGGCGAAGGCGGUGCCUGGAGCUUGCUGACGCUGAGGAGCGAAAGCGUGGGGAGCGAACAGG
rnacentral:rRNA from 1 species